rnacentral:rRNA from 1 species
GACGAACGCUGGCGGCGUGCCUAACACAUGCAAGUCGAGCGGGGCAGGGGCGGAUGGCAACUGAAGCCUCUACCUAGCGGCGGACGGGUGAGUAACGCGUGGGCAACCUGCCUCAAGGAUCGGGAUAACAGCUCGAAAGGGCUGCUAAUACCGGAUGCGCUCACGGCCUCGCAUGGGGCUGUGAGCAAAGGGGAAACCCGCCUUGAGAUGGGCCCGCGUCCCAUCAGCUAGUUGGUGAGGUGAAAGCUCACCAAGGCGACGACGGGUAGCCGGCCUGAGAGGGUGACCGGCCACACUGGGACUGAGACACGGCCCAGACUCCUACGGGGGGCAGCAGUGGGGGAUCUUGCACAAUGGGCGAAAGCCUGAUGCAGCGACGCCGCGUGAGCGAAGAAGGCCUUCGGGUUGUAAAGCUCUGUCUGAGGGACGAACAAAUAGACGGUACCUCCGGAGGAAGCCACGGCUAACUACGUGCCAGCAGCCGCGGUAACCGAUA